rnacentral:rRNA from 1 species
UACGUAGGGUGCGAGCGUUGUCCGGAAUUAUUGGGCGUAAAGAGCUCGUAGGCGGUCUGUCGCGUCGGUCGUGAAAACUUGGGGCUUAACCCCGAGCUUGCGGUCGAUACGGGCAUGACUGGAGUUCGGUAGGGGAGACUGGAAUUCCUGGUGUAGCGGUGAAAUGCGCAGAUAUCAGGAGGAACACCGGUGGCGAAGGCGGGUCUCUGGGCCGAUACUGACGCUGAGGAGCGAAAGCGUGGGGAGCGAACAGG